GCGGACGUGGUGCACGGUGCACCACUGCUUUCCUUGGACUUUCGUCAAAUGAUUGCAAGCAGUAAAACGGGGUUCGACUCCCCGCGUCCGCA